rnacentral:rRNA from 1 species
AUUGAACGCUGGCGGCAUGCCUUACACAUGCAAGUCGAACGGUAACAGGUCUUCGGAUGCUGACGAGUGGCGAACGGGUGAGUAAUACAUCGGAACGUGCCCGAUCGUGGGGGAUAACGAGGCGAAAGCUUUGCUAAUACCGCAUACGAUCUACGGAUGAAAGCGGGGGAUCUUCGGCCCUCGCGCGGACGAAGGGGCCGAUGGCAGAUUAGGUAGUUGGUGGGAUAAAAGCUUACCAAGCCGACGAUCUGUAGCUGGUCUGAGAGGAUGAUCAGCCACACUGGGACUGAGACACGGCCCAGACUCCUACGGGAGGCAGCAGUGGGGAAUUUUGGACAAUGGGCGAAAGCCUGAUCCAGCCAUGCCGCGUGCAGGAUGAAGGCCUUCGGGUUGUAAACUGCUUUUGUACGGAACGAAAAGCCUCUUUCUAAUAAAGAGGGGUCAUGACGGUACCGUAAGAAUAAGCACCGGCUAACUACGUG